rnacentral:rRNA from 1 species
CCUACGGGUGACAGCAGUGAGGAAUAUUGGUCCAUGGGCUUACGCCUGAACCAGCCAAGUCGCGUGAGGGAAGACUGCCCUAUGGGUUGUAAACCUCUUUUGUCAGGGAGCAACGCCGGCUACGUGUAGCCGGACUGAGAGUAACUGAAGAAAAAGCAACGGCCAACUCCGUGCCAGCAGCCUCGGUAAUACGGCGGAUGCUAGCGUUAUCCGGAUUUCUUGGGUUUACAGGGUGCGUAGGCGGAAUGCCAAGUCAGCGGUAAAAUCGCGGGGCUCAACCUCGCUCCGCCGUUGCAACUGGCGUUCUUGAGUGGGCGAGAAGUAUGCGGAAUGCGUUGUGUAGCGGUGAAAUGCAUAGAUAUCACGCAGAACUCCGAUUGCGAAGGCAGCAUACCGGCGCCCAACUGACGCUGAAGCACGAAAGCGUGGGUAUCGAACAGGAUUAGAUACCCUGGUAGUC